ACCAUCCUGUGUCACGCAACGAUAGUUUCCAGCAAGCAACAUCGACCAUUUUGCCAGCGGCACAAAUAUUGAUUGAUGAACUCGCAAUUUUACCGGGAUCUCAAUAUUGCCAGUUCCGAAACGAGCGGCGUCAAUGUCUCGUUCAAGUCGUUCGAGGAUCGCAUCACUUUUCUCGUUAUCGAAUCUCGCUACCUUGAAAUUUGUUGGCAGCGUUACUUGCAAUAUAUUCGGCCUCUCAUCUGGAGGACGAA
rnacentral:misc_RNA from 1 species